ACCAUGCAGUCGAACGAUGAUCUCCAGCUUGCUGGGGGGAUUAGUGGCGAACGGGUGAGUAACACGUGAGUAACCUGCCCUUGACUCUGGGAUAAGCCUGGGAAACUGGGUCUAAUACCGGAUACGACCGUCCCGCGCAUGCGGUGGUGGUGGAAAGCUUUUGCGGUUUUGGAUGGACUCGCGGCCUAUCAGCUUGUUGGUGGGGUAAUGGCCUACCAAGGCGACGACGGGUAGCCGGCCUGAGAGGGUGACCGGCCACACUGGGACUGAGACACGGCCCAGACUCCUACGGGAGGCAGCAGUGGGGAAUAUUGCACAAUGGGCGAAAGCCUGAUGCAGCGACGCCGCGUGAGGGAUGACGGCCUUCGGGUUGUAAACCUCUUUCAGUAGGGAAGAAGCGAAAGUGACGGUACCUGCAGAAGAAGCGCCGGCUAACUACGUGCCAGCAGCCGCGGUAAUACGUAGGGCGCAAGCGUUAUCCGGAAUUAUUGGGCGUAAAGAGCUCGUAGGCGGUUUGUCGCGUCUGCUGUGAAAGACCGGGGCUCAACUCCGGUUCUGCAGUGGGUACGGGCAGACUAGAGUGAUGUAGGGGAGACUGGAAUUCCUGGUGUAGCGGUGAAAUGCGCAGAUAUCAGGAGGAACACCGAUGGCGAAGGCAGGUCUCUGGGCAUUAACUGACGCUGAGGAGCGAAAGCAUGGGGAGCGAACAGGAUUAGAUACCCUGGUAGUCCAUGCCGUAAACGUUGGGCACUAGGUGUGGGGGACAUUCCACGUUUUCCGCGCCGUAGCUAACGCAUUAAGUGCCCCGCCUGGGGAGUACGGCCGCAAGG
rnacentral:rRNA from 1 species